GCCGGGCGUGGUGGCGGGCGCCUGUAGUCCCAGCUACUCAGGAGGCUGAGGCAGGAGAAUCGCUUGAACCCAGGAGGUGGAGAGGUUGCAGUGAGCCGAGAUGGCACCACUGCACUCCAGCCUGGGCAACAGAGCAAGACUCUGUCUCAA
rnacentral:SRP_RNA from 1 species